AUAUAUCUAACUCUAGUAAUUUGACAUCAUUCAUAAUUUUCGCAGAUGACACAAAUCUAUUUUACUCUGGAAAAAACAUUGUACAACUGGAAUCAACAGUAAAUAAUGACAUUAAGAAAAUCUCUGAGUGGUUUAAUGAUAAUGAAUUAACACUUAAUGUUAAGAAGACAAAUUUUAGUAACUUUAAGACAAAGAAAAAGAAACUAAAUCAUAAUAUAACAAUAAACAUAGGGAAUAAUCAGCUAUCUCAAGUCAAUAGUACAAAGUUUCUAGGAAUUAUUAUCGAUGAACAUUUAACAUGGAAUGACCAUAUAAAUUAUGUAGCAAAUAAAAUAUCGAAGACAACUGGUAUACUCACAAAAACUCGUCACUUUCUGAAUACUAACACACUAAUAACAUUAUACAAUACGCUUGUUUACCCAUAUCUAUAUUAUGGUGAUAUAGUGUGGGCUAAUAAUUAUCCAUCCAGAUUAAAAAAAUCAUAAAAAUAAAAAAAAAGCAAUUCGGUUUAUUACAUUCAAUCCAUACAUUGCAAAGUCAGCGCCUCUUUUUCAACAGCUAAAAUUAUUAAACCUUAAUCAAAUAAACGAUUUAUGUACUAGCCUUUUCAUGUUUGAUUACAUAAAUGGAAACCUACCAGCCUCAUUUAAUGAUUAUUUUACCACAAAUACUAAAAUACACCAUCAUGACACCAGAAAGUCAAAUUCUAUACACCAAAAAUAUUUCAGAACAAAUUACGGGAAAUUCUCAAUUAAAACGAAAGGAAC